UAGGGAAUCUUCCACAAUGGACGCAAGUCUGAUGGAGCAACGCCGCGUGAGUGAAGAAGGUUUUCGGACCGUAAAGCUCUGUUGUUGGUGAAGAAGGAUAGAGGUAGUAACUGGCCUUUAUUUGACGGUAAUCAACCAGAAAGUCGCGGCUAACUACGUGCCAGCAGCCGCGGUAAUACGUAGGUGGCAAGCGUUGUCCGGAUUUAUUGGGCGUAAAAGCGAGCGCAGGCGGAAGAAUAAGUCUGAUGUGAAAGCCCUCGGCUUAACCGAGGAAUUGCAUCGGAAACUGUUUUUCUUGAGUGCAGAAGAGGAGAGUAGAACUCCAUGUGUAGCGGUGGAAUGCGUAGAUAUAUGGAAGAAUACCAGUGGCGAAGGCGGCUCUCUGGUCUGCAAACUGACGCUGAGGCUCGAAAAGCAUGGGUAGCGAACAGGAUUAGAUACCCUGGUAGUCCAUGCCGUAAAACGAUGAGUGCUA
rnacentral:rRNA from 1 species